rnacentral:rRNA from 1 species
GACGAACGCUGGCGGCGUGCUUAACACAUGCAAGUCGAACGGAAAGGCCCUGUUUGCAGGGUAGUCGAUUGGCUAACGGGUGAGUAACUCGUGGGUGAUCUGCCCUGCACUUCGGGAUAAGUCUGGGAAACUGGGUCUAAUACCGGCUAGGAGCCAUUUUUAGUGUGAUGGUUGGAAAGUUUUUUCGGUGUAGGAUGAGCUCGCGGCCUAUCAGCUUGUUGGUGGGGUAAUGGCCUACCAAGGCGGCGACGGGUAGCCGGCCUGAGAGAGUGGACGGCCACAUUGGGACUGAGAUGCGGCACAGGCACCUAAGGGAGGGAGCAGUGGGGAAUAUUGCACAAUGAGCGCAAGGCGAAUGAAGCGAGGCCGCGUGGGGGAUAACGGCCUUCGGGUUGUAAACUCCGUGCGCUAGGGACGAAGAUUUUUGUGACGGUACCUAGAGAAGAAGCACCGGCUAACUACGUG